AUUGAACGCUGGCGGCAUGCCUUACACAUGCAAGUCGAACGGCAGCACGGGGGCAACCCUGGUGGCGAGUGGCGAACGGGUGAGUAAUGCAUCGGAACGUGUCCUCUUGUGGGGGAUAACCAGUCGAAAGAUUGGCUAAUACCGCAUGAGAUCGCAAGAUGAAAGCGGGGGACCGCAAGGCCUCGCGCGAGAGGAGCGGCCGAUGCCGGAUUAGCUAGUUGGUGGGGUAAAAGCCUACCAAGGCGACAAUCCGUAGCUGGUCUGAGAGGACGACCAGCCACACUGGGACUGAGACACGGCCCAGACUCCUACGGGAGGCAGCAGUGGGGAAUUUUGGACAAUGGGCGCAAGCCUGAUCCAGCCAUGCCGCGUGUGUGAAGAAGGCCUUCGGGUUGUAAAGCACUUUCGGACGGAACGAGAUCGCGCGGACGAACAUUCCGCGUGGAUGACGGUACCGUAAGAGGAAGCACCGGCUAACUACGUGCCAGCCGCCGCCGUAACAC
rnacentral:rRNA from 1 species